CGCAAUGGCAGCCGCGGUGUGGCGUCAUGCUAAGAACCAAAGAAACCAGCGGAGGGCGAGGCGUAUGAAGUCAGGAAACACACCACUAAAUUGGAUACAAUUGAAGUUACCUCGUUCAGGCAGGCUACAAACAUACAAUGGCACAAUGCCUGCUGCUCACACCAGAGAUGCAGAGAUACAAGUGCACAGACAGCAUGGAUUCCAGCAAGAUUACGAGGAUGAUACAGAACUACAGAAUUUGGUGGAGGAUACAGGCGGACAAGUCUGAUCAAAACAGAUAGGCGCUGUUUGCUUUCCCUCAGAUGGAUGUGAUGUGGUUAUGGAUGUGGUUUGGAGAUCAGUGUCACACAAAGGAGGUGAGCUGCAGA